GGUCAAGCGAGUAAGUGCGCACGGCGGAUGCCUUGGCACAGACCGGCGACGAAGGACGUGGCAAGCUGCGAAAAGCCUCGGGGAGCUGCAAGCAAGCUGGGAUCCGGGGGUGUCCGAAUGGGGGAACCCGGCGGGAGCGAUCCCGUCACCCUUGCGAGGGAGCCAACCCAGGGAACUGAAACAUCUAAGUACCUGGAGGAAAAGAAAUCAAGCGAGAUUCCCAGAGUAGCGGCGAGCGAAAAGGGAAGAGCCCAAACCCGGGCGGGGUGACCCGGCCGGGGGUUGUGGGGCCGUAUCAUCAGGCGAGGCGAAAGCAUAGCGGAACGGUACUGGAACGUACGACCGCAGAGGGUGAGAGUCCCGUAU
rnacentral:rRNA from 1 species